rnacentral:tRNA from 1 species
GCAUUGGUGGUUCAGUGGUAGAGUUCUCGUCUUCAGUGCAGGAGACCUGGGUUUGACUUCCAACCAACGUA